AUUGAACGCUGGCGGCAGGCUUAACACAUGCAAGUCGAGCGGAGACUUCGGUCUUAGCGGCGAACGGGUGAGUAAUACCUAGGAAUCUGCCUAUUAGUGGGGGAUAACGAAUCGAAAGGUUCGCUAAUACCGCAUACGUCCUACGGGAGAAAGGGGGGAUCUUCGGACCUCUCGCUAAUAGAUGAGCCUAGGCCGGAUUAGCUAGUUGGUAGGGUAAAGGCCUACCAAGGCGACGAUCUGUAGCUGGUCUGAGAGGAUGGCCAGCCACGCUGGAACUGAGACACGGUCCAGACUCCUACGGGAGGCAGCAGUGGGGAAUAUUGGACAAUGGGGGCAACCCUGAUCCAGCCAUGCCGCGUGUGUGAAGAAGGCC
rnacentral:rRNA from 1 species